AUACGGAGGGUGCAAGCGUUGUUCGGAAUCACUGGGCGUAAAGGGCGCGCAGGCGGUUUGGUAAGUCAGAUGUGAAAGCCCACGGCUCAACCGUGGAAGUGCAUUUGAAACUGUCAGACUUGAGUACUAGAGGGGAAAGUGGAAUUCCCGGUGUAGAGAUGAAAUUCGUAGAUAUCGGGAGGAAUACCGGUGGCGAAGGCGACUUUCUGGCUAGAUACUGACGCUGAGGCGCGAAAGCGUGGGGAGCAAACAGGAUUAGAAACCCUAGUAGUCC
rnacentral:rRNA from 1 species